GGGAGGGCCAGAUGAGGAGACUGAUAGUUGAGGUGACUGAAGAGCCAUCAUGUGAAGAGGGGAAGCUACAGCUCUAAAAGAGUGACUCUGGGGAGGAGGAGUCUUCCUGCAGACACAUAGGUGUUGUGAAGUUAGACUGGGUUGGACAGACUGGGUCCCACUCAGACAGACAGACAGACAGACAGACAGACAGACAGACAGACAGACAGACAGACAGACAGACAGACAGACAGACAGACAGACAGACAGACAGACAGACAGACAGACAGACAGACAGACAGACAGACAGACAGACAGACAGACAGACAGACAGACAGACAGAUAUCUGAGCUGUCUGGUCUCAGCUCCGUGGUUCUGCUCACACAGCCAAACUCACACAGCCACUCUGGUAUAGUUGUCAAGUUGCUCAGCUAACCUGUCUGUCACCUGACGUCCCUACAGAGCCCCACCCACUCUCAUAAGACUAGCUGUACUCUUCACCCACCUGGCUAAGAUCUAACGACUGGCUCUGCCCUGUUUACAUGAGCAGUCUGUGCUAACCCAAAUCCAAACCUAGUGACUCGUUUUGUCCUUCUCAACAAGGUGGCCUGUGCCUCGUUCAUAUCG
ensembl:lncRNA